GAUCGCCCUCGAUUCCAGGAUCCACCGCUUUUGUUAUUUGCGAAAUAAGCGUUAAUAUAAUAAUCGAAGGCAUUUGUCACAAUUUUUUUUCCCUUUUCUCUUCUCUGCGAUCGCGGUUUUUGUUGAUUUUAAUUCACAUUUGUACACACACACACACGUAUAUGUAAUAUUCUUUUUACGGUCUUUUCCUUUGUCUCAUAUACAACAAUUCGUCGUAAAUUUAUUGUUUGAUCACCGUGGCGAUAUAGAUCGACGUAUAACGGCGCAAGUAACGCAUGUUUCUGCAGAUUUCAUCCUAAUUCGCUAUUUCCAGAACGAUGCAAUGGAGGCGAUGUCCGGUAGUAGUCAUACGUAAUAGAUUCUGGUGACCGAUUAUUAGCAAAAAAAAAAAAUAAAAAUAAAAAAAAAACAAACUACCCAAGACGCUAUACCUAUGUGUACCCCUUGGACAUGCGAUACUCUUGUGGGGAUGAUUGAGGAGGUAUUAGCUGAAUAUGCUCUAUGACCGCUUUGAAAAUGCAAUUCGAAAUUUCUUUUAUAGGCGAUGCUUUACAUACGUAUAAUUUAUCGACCCUCCGUUGCUGUUAUUUUUUUAAACGUGCGCGGUAGCUGAUGUAAAUAUUCACGCUUUUUACAACUUCUUCGUUUCUUUCUCGUUCUCUUGUUGGUCACGCCGCACAAAUUCCCUGUCACGAGUAAAAGAGUAUAUUGUUCGUUUGACCCGUAUAUUAUACAUACCUGUACAUACAUACAUACAGAAAACUGGGAUCUACGUGUACGUGCCGCGUGAAAGAAUAAUUAUUACAGAGGACAAAAUAAAAGUAGUACGUAACUGGGAAACGGAGGUGAGUAGAAUUCAUCAAUCAUGCGUUCACGUGACCUUCACGUGCAAUGCAUACCUGUACGAUCUAUGUAUUCUCUGUACAUGUUAUACAAUGCAUUAAUAUUAGCAUAUAUUUUUUAGUAUAUAUAUGUACUCAGAAGCGGCGUGCACAUUCGUUACAGUCAUAUGGAUAGAUAGUGGAAAAAAUAGGACAGUGCGGUAACAAAGCCCAGGCUGAAAUGAGGAAACUAUAAUAGUCGGUGUCAGCGGGGGAUGCCUCGGUGUAUACGCUGUGUUCGUUUGUUCGUUCGUUCGUUCGCUUUGUUUCAUUCUUCCACAGAAACCCCCACUGUUAUCCACCAGUUGAAAACUUGCUCGACACACUCAGCUUUCAACGUGUUGUUGCACACCCACGUGAUAAAUGUACAUCUGUAUAAAGACGGAAUUCCUCACCAGGUGAACUUGCCCAUCGGUAACUCCAUAUUAUUACUAUUUCUCUAGAUUCGCUAUAGUUUCGCGAUCAAUAAUAAUUAUCUAAUUGUAAGUGGUGAGCGUUUUUUUACCCGGAGACGGCUGAAUUUCCCGUAUCUUUUCCUCCGUCUCUUUAUUCGUACCUGCAGUUGUGAGAGAACUCGUAUCGUUUCUUUUUUUUCCAAACUGUAUCAGGUUCGAAAUUUAUCAGAGUUAAACUCCCUAAUAAGAUCGUAUCGAGUCACUUGAUAUUUCAUUGAUGUUAUCGUCUGCCGGGGUACACGUGGAAGAAGAAAUAAAUUUUACGAGCUAGAAUUCGAAUCAGAAUUCAAGCUAGAUCUGUGGAAACAUGGAUAUCCACCGAUAAUCGAUCCCAUGGAAAACUAUGCCUGUGCAGUAAAAGUUUUACCUGUGUUAUACAGUUUUAAAUUUUGUAAUUACAUAUAUUUGGUAGGUUUGGAUGUCAGUUUCAGGAUACGAACUUUGGGAGGAUUAUAUAUUAUACCUACAUCACGUGCGGUUCUGAUGCUGAGAGUAGCCAGAAAUCCAGAGAAAAGCUAACUAAAAUGUAUCCACCUAACCAAAGAAGAAAAAUUUCAAACUGGAAAUACGACGCGCACAAUUUAUUCGAGAAUUACGGUGAAUCGAAAUGUGAAAUACGAGCAUCCCACCCUCAACACGAAGCCACCAGGAUCUGAAAGGUAUGCAGGUAGAGCGGAAAGUAAGAAAAAAAAGGAGGAGGGAAAAACCGUGAAAGCGACAGUAUACUCUUCGAAAUUCCAAUCACGAGGAAAAACCAGUGAAUUCCAUUCCCGAGCAGUUCGGUCAAAGACAUCUAGCCGGUUGGUGAAUCGCGAGUAAGAGCGAACUUUGUCAGAAUUGGAUUUCACCGAGAGAGUGAUAAAUUAUUGAAGGUGUAGAAUUGGUGCAGGCUAAGGUAUACGUCGGAAGGAAGGCAGGGGUAUACCUUGCUACUCCCCAUAGCGAUAUUUUAGGGAUCUCCAUCGUUAUCGGCGAGACACCUGGAGCAGUGCAAUUUCACUCCCUCUGUUUCCCGAAAGUGGAGUAGCUGGUCGGUUGGUUGGCUGGUUCGUCGGGAAACAGGCGGGCGGGUGUAACUCGAGAAAAUAGGUUGGGGGUAGUAUGGGGUAAUUUAACAGUGGGCAGAUGAGAUAAGAUAUCUUUGUGGUUAGCGGGUUGCGCGGUUUUGCGGUUGUGUGUUUCAAGACACUCCGAAAUUCCUAUGGAAUUUAGACGCGGACACCCCGUUUCGCCACGCCGCGCUUAUUAUGUACCACCGUACCCCACAACGAAUGGGAAAUGCCGUUGGUGCAUCUUACGUAAACAAAUUUUCACUGCCUAAUAUACCCCUACCCGUACACAGACAUUCGUAUCCAUGCACACAAUUUCCAUCAACGACCCUUUGGAUCCCUCGAAUCACUCGUGAAAAUGAAAACUAUAUAGGUAUAUGAUAAAUUUAAUGUGUUGUAGUAUUUGCCAGAAAAUUUUCUUUUCUCUUACGUACAUGACUGUACCUGUACCUGUACCGGUUACCUAUACCAUUGUGAUCUACUGGUGGUUACUCUAUUUGUUAUUUGACAUGCGUUACGUGUCACGAAUAUCUCUUUUUAACUCCGGGAUUCGCGGGACACACAAGGAGAUUACAGGUUUGCGGAACUACCGAAAAAAAAGGUCAAGUUGUUUGGGUCGUUAAGGUCAUGAUUCAUCCCGCGGACAAGGAACUUACUAACCUUAUACCGUGAUAUAUAUGUAUAUGUUUCAUAUACCAUAUACUGUACGUAACAAACUUUUGGGAGGGCAAACAUAACUCGACUUAGACGCUCGUUUGAGAAAUAUCGUAAGUCGCAAACCGAAUUCAUCCCCGCUCUCUGUUUCAUCGCUGGUGAAAGAGAAAAGAGAAAAAAACUGAUCACGGAAACCGUAUUCAGAAGUUAUCCGAUGACCGAAUAACAAAUAUAUGUAUAUUUGCGAUUUUAUAUUUGUCGACCAACAAAGUAGAUCAUAGGGACGUAUAGUGUGAAGGUAAUCAGACAGUCAGUGAAUAAAUAUACUGCAAAUGCAUAACGGUUAUUACCACGUCAGUUACUGUAAACUCUACUUUGUUCUCGUACUUAUACUCCAUUCUAGAUUCCCUUUCGUAAACAUUUAUUUUACCAUUAUUCCGAACGAGCAUAUAAACAAUAGAGGAGUUAGUUUGUUGUCUCGCUAAUGAGCUUCUGCGUUCGAUAGAAAUUCUGUUUGGAGUGUUUAAUGCAGCUAAGAAGGUAAAAUAUACCUAGGGGAAGUAGAACGAGCGAAAGAAGAAAGUUAAUUCUGUAACGUGCAUAAAAUUUCGAACAACGAAAUUCAAACUGAAGUCUUAUUUUCUGACGAAUGGUUCGAAUUUUUUUUUUUUUUUUAACACUCGUAGUAUCCAGCAAUACAAAUCACCGGUUUAUCGCUAUCCAAUUGUUGGUAAUCCGAAUUCAGCACCGCGAGCACCUUAUGUAAACUCUAAUGUAUAUAAUAACGUUACUUCUAACAAGUUGUUCAUCACGACCAUCGUUCUGAUAUUAGCUUCGUUAAGUUUACCCUAAAUCGUUGGUGCAACUUUACUAACUGCCAUAGGUUGGCGUUAAUUCGCUGCAGGACUUGAUUACGGAAACAUUGGUCCCUGAUUUUGGGAGUUUGGGAACCAGCGAAUUUGGAAUUUAAUUGAACCGUGAACAUGUCGGAAAUGUUAACUACUUUUGAAGCACGGCAAGAGCCCGAUCAUCCAUGUUUUUGGUCUCCGCUCUUUAGCCGUUAAACAACCCCUCGGACUAUCUGAUCUCGUGGGACAAGAAGGAUUUUUUUCACCAACGGAGAAGGACUCGCGUCCUAAACUAGGAGCUCCGCGACAUCGACCAAUAAAGCUAUUUUUAUUUAUUUUUUAUUUUUAUUCCCUUCUUUCUAUCUGCCGGAAACGGAAGUAAGAUAGAAAGUAAACGAAAACGAAGAGACCAAGGUAGGAGAUGGAAGAAAAAAAGAGGAACUAAAAAGGGACGGGGAAUGAGAAAGGGACUCUGGAAACUAGCUAUAGCAGGAAGGUCCUUGCGUGACCGAGAACCAGGGACCAGCUAUUGGAUAAAUUGAUCUCCGAGACCUGUGGGACUGGUCGUAUCGCAGGACGAGUUUCAUCCGAUUCUGCGUAGCUAUACCUUUUCCUAUACUACCUUAUAUAUACUGCUCCUGAUGCCGCGUUACCCUCGAUAAAUAUAUUGUUCUCAACGAAACUUUGACAACUUUGAUUAAUAGUUACGAUCCACCUAAAACCCUCUCGCUGAUAACAACCUGACGAGAGCCAAAAAGUAACUUUAUAAAUGUUUGUUACACCGCACUUUGUUUUAGACACCGUUACCCACACCCGCGCCCCAUUUUUGCCCCACAUUUCGAGUGUUGCAAUAUGUUGAAGAGCUACCGCGGAGAUGCUCUGAUCGCUUCGGAAGCGCAAUUCUUAGUUUCUUCCGAACGAUGCCUUUAUUUGAUACGAAACUUUUGGGUAACUAUAAAUUGACUAGCUGUUUGAUUUUUUCUAAAACUUUCAUUUUUUCAAGCCGAAGGAAUAUACAGACCUGUAUAAGUAGUCGAAUAGCUGGGUGGAUUCUUGAUUAAAAUUGGCGUGUAGUACCAAAGUCGGAAAAGUUCCAGCUGCAGGGUUGGGGAAUAAUACCGUCGAUAUUAUUCCAAUUUUACUACUAUCCUUAUAGAUUUUCACUACUUUCUUUCUCCGUUCGAUCUUCUUAGUGCCAAUAAUUCUUCGUUGUUCGAUCGUUCACCGAUUCACCAUCUGGCAUUUAUUACGACUAGCUAUCCUCGUGACUUUUACACCCCGAUAUUUUACAUCCCAUCAGCUAAUAUAAGACGGCGUGAAGUUUGCAUAAUUUCAGAAAUUCACCUGCUAUAUUACACUUCAGAACCGCGGUGAUAAAUUGCUCAUUAUGAUUCAAUGAGACGUAGGCGUAAUAGAAUAAUUUUAUUAUUUCGUGUCUGAAAGAUCGAUAUAAUUCAAAUAAUUCCAACUGCGUAUCGUACAGUAUCGACUACAGUCGCGUCAUAUGUCAACCGAGGAACAGAUACAGUUGCGGUAGUUCUAAUUGGAUUUUCUACCGAUUCGUGAGACCAAAGCGGUCCGUCCUAAUUUUAAUCGAAUAUACAACUUUGUGACUUGGCAAUCAAAUGAUACGAUAAUUCAAUGAAAAUAGAACGUCUACUUCUAUGAAGGGCUGACGCUAAAAUGGAUCCCUUAUGAACUGAGAGGCUGUUCACCUGCACCCCUGUCACGAUAGAAAAAAAAAGUUGUGUACAUUCAACGAACCAACUCAUCGCAUCGCGGAUAUUUUCGAACCUCACGAUGAUCGUUAUAUUAGAUGGCAGUGAAUUGCAAAAUGGUCCGAAACCGCCCGACGUCACUGGGCUUGUCUGACACCACCGGAGUUAAAACAACAACGUAGGACCUCGACAACCAAGAGCUGUUCGAGGGGGGAAAUUCCGGAAAAGCAAAAAGGCUCAACGUCCCAUUUAUCCCCCGGAGACUCCAGGCGCCCUUACGCCCUUACGCCGUCAUAUAGGUGCGCUUACGUUGGCCGAAUACUUCGUUAAGGACACUUUUGCCAAUGUGGAAGUGGAAAAGAAAGAGCUGAGUUUCAUCGUUUAUUCUACGCGUAGGCAUCGGCAAUUCUAAUAGCAAUGAAGACGCCGAGAUAAGGAAGAAAAGGAGGUCCCAUUUUACCGGAAGGGUCGUUCGCCACGUGAUGCUUGUAACACGUAUUUCACGUUCGAUAUCUGCAGCUUGUAGAGAUUUUCUAUUUUCCUCUCGGAUGCCAAUUAUAAAAUUUGUGAUUGUUGACUCGCACUCCGAAAAACAAAUCUGACGAUUCCAUCGAGUUGAAACAUUGAAAUGAAAACGAUCCGAACGUCAAGUGCGAGGUAUGUUCAUGCGAAUAAAGAGACGGAAAAGAAGCUCCGAGAAAAUGAUUUAUAAUGGAACGCACUAAAUUAUUAUUUCGGUAUACAUAGCAGUCUGUUGGAUAGAAAAAUAGAAGAAGGUUUUCAUAAGACGAACGAGGUGUUCAAAUUGAUAGCUCCGUACAGCAAUACCGUUAUCGCGAAACAAUCUUUGCCCAUAUCGUCCGAAAGAAGAAUGUCUAUCUAUAGCAUAAUACCUAUUCCAGCGUUUACAAUUUUGGUAUGAAAUUUAUGCCUGACGCUCGAAGGAAUAGUGGAAAAUAUUUUACGAGAAUCUGCAAGAACGCGUGCGGCACGGGGCAGCACACGCGGGGCUGAUUCCCGAGGGGGUAAACAUAUUUUUUACGGGAUUUAGCGUAUUUCCACUGAAAUUUGUUUUCCACCUUAAACAUUUUGGCCAAUGUGAUAUUUCAUUGUCGACUUCCUUCACAUUCUAUCCCUUUUCAUAGGUUUUUCUUCUUUUCUACAUUUUUUUCUCCUUAUUUCUCCUCACCAAACCACCCUACGCUGCGCCCUCGGGAUUGUUGGGAACGGUGCGGUCUUAUCUUGAUAAAUCAUUCGUCUCUUUUUCUGCUUAUCGAGUGAGAGAUCCCCGGUCUUUCUUAUCCAGGGUUAAAAAAACAGCGACAAAGACAACUAAUGAAAUAUACCAGCUACUUGGCCAAAAGUCCAUGCACAAAAAUGACGGUUCAUUCAACGUCAUAGAAGAAUUUGAACUCCGACGACGAGGCCGCCGAAAUUACAGAAACCCUGAAAUUAAUAGAAAUUCAGGAAGUGCGUAUUGCAAAAAAGAUGUAUCUUCUAUUACUUCAUAGAAUCAUGUGUCUGAGUGUCGUAAUUUUGGGAAAUUCGAGUUUAAUCUUAAGGACUUUUAGCCCAAAUAAAAAUUCAUCCCUGAAAAAAUACUUCAAAAUAAGACUGAUGUAAAAAAACAAGAAAUAAAGUACAUGUAUAUUUUA